rnacentral:rRNA from 1 species
UACGAAGGGGGCUAGCGUUGCUCGGAAUCACUGGGCGUAAAGGGUGCGUAGGCGGGUCUUUAAGUCAGGGGUGAAAUCCUGGAGCUCAACUCCAGAACUGCCUUUGAUACUGAGGAGCUUGAGUCCGGGAGAGGUGAGUGGAACUGCGAGUGUAGAGGUGAAAUUCGUAGAUAUUCGCAAGAACACCAGUGGCGAAGGCGGCUCACUGGCCCGGUACUGACGCUGAGGUGCGAAAGCGUGGGGAGCAACAGGG